CUAGAAAAUGCCUUCCUUUGUUACUUUCUCUCUGGAUACCAAUUCUGUGAUAGACCUCAAUAAGGAUGAGGAGCGUCAACUCCCACAGAACAGAUUGGUUGGGAAGUAACUGAUCCCUGGAUCGCUGCCUACGGUGGCCCUGCUUAUGCAGACAGGUGGCAAAGUGAACCUUCCACAACCCUUGCUUCAGUUCAUCUUAGUGAAUAACCAUUGAGCUUUUCCAUAGGUAGAACAAACAAACGACCACUGUGAUCACUGUCUAAGAUUUACCCCCUGACCGUAAGGAGCUUAUGCUUUCAGGGGAAGAUGCAUCCCUAAUUGUGAGAAGGAUCAUGGUGUGGGUUCUCCAGUUCCACAAUGACAGGUUAUGUUAUAGGAAGGGAAAGGUGAUGCAUCCUGUUGUCUUAAGUGUUUCUACCCUUCUCCAAAGGAAACAACAAAGCAGCAAGUGCCAAGUGCCCUUCCACCUGCUUCUAGAUCAAGGCUGAGAACAUUUAAGCAGGACUAUCCCAGAAGGUCUGGUUGGAGCAGGCAGAAGGGGGCAGCGGCUGCGCU
rnacentral:lncRNA from 1 species